GUGCCCGCCUCGGCAGCACAUAUACUGAAAUUGCAACGAUACAGAGAAGGUGAGCACGGCCCCUGUGCGAGGAUGACCCGCAAAUUUGCAAAACUCGUGAAGCGUUC
ensembl:snRNA U6 U6 spliceosomal RNA